UUCGAUUAUGGCUCAGAUUGAACGCUGGCGGGAUGCUACAUGCAAGUCGAACGGCAGCACGGACUUCGGUCUGGUGGCGAGUGGCGAACGGGUGAGUAAUGUAUCGGAACGUGCCUAGUGAGGGAUAACCACGCGAAAGCGUAGCUAAUACCACAUACGCCCCUUCGGGGAAAACGGGGGACCUUCGGGCCUCGCACUAUUGAAACGGCCGAUAUCGGUUAUUUCGUUGGUGGGGUAACGGCUCUGAAGGCGACGAUCCGUAGCUGGUUUGAGAGGACGACCAACCACACUGGGACUGAGACGGCCCAGACUCCUGCAAGGAGGCAGCAGUGGGGAAUUUUGGACAAUGGAAACCCUGAUCCAGCGACCAUCCCGCGUGUGCGAUGAAGGCCUUCGGGUUGCCAGCACUUUUGGCAGGAAAGAAACGGCACGGGAUAAUACCGUGCAGCGAUAUUGCAAGUCAGCACCGGCUAACUACGUGCCAACUGACCGCGGUAAUACGGCAGGGUGCAAGCGUUAAUCAGGAAUUACUGGGCGUAAAGCGUGCGCAGAGCGGUUCCGGAAGAAAGAUGCAGCAGCAAAUCCCGACUUAGCGGAACAUUCGCUACCGAGCUACAGAGUGUGUCGGGAGGUGGAAUUCCGCGCUGGCAGUGAAAUGCGUAGAUAUGCGGAGGAACACCGAUGAAGGCAGCAGCCUCCUGGGAUAACUUACUGACGCUCAUGCACGAAAGCGUGGGAGCAAACAGGGAUUAGAUACCCUGGUAGUCACGCCCUAAACGAUGUCAACUAGCUGUUGGGCCUUCCCGGGCCUUGGUAGCGCAGCUAACGCGUGAAGUUGACCGCCUGGGGAAGUACAGUCGCAAGAUUAAAACUCAAAGGAAUUGACGAGGGACCGCACAAGCGGUGGAUGAUGUGGAUUAAUUCGAUGCAACGCGAAAAACCUUACCUACCCUUGACAUGUCUAGGAAUCCCGAAGAGAUUUGGGAGUGCUGCGCAGAGAACCGGAACACAGGUGCUGCAUGGCUGUCGUCAGCUCGUGUCGUGAGAUGUUGGGUUAAGUCCCGCAACGAGCGCAACCCUUGUCAUUAGCAGAUUGCUACGAAAGGGCACUCUAAUGGGGCCUAUGGUGACCAUGGAAGGUGGGGAUGACGUCAAGUCCUCGCUGGCCCUUAUGGGUAGAGACUUCACACGUCAUACAAUGGUCGGGACAGAGGGUCGCCAACCCGCGAGGGCCAAUCCCAGAAACCCGAUCAUAGUCCGGAUCGCAGUCUGCAACUCGACUGCGUGAAGUCGGAAACGCUAGUAAUCGCGGAUCAGCAUGUCGCGGUGAAUACGUUCCAGGUCUUGUACACCGCCCGUCACACCAUGGGAGUGGGUUUUACCAAGUAGUUAGCUAACCGUAGGGAGGGCGAUUACCACGGUAGGAUUCAUGACUGGGAGUGAAGUCGUAACAAGGUAG
rnacentral:rRNA from 1 species